AGCUACAGGCUUAACACAUGCAAGUCGAGGGGCAUCAGGAAGAAAGCUUGCUUUCUUUGCUGGCGACCGGCGCACGGGUGAGUAACACGUAUCCAACCUGCCCUUUACUCGGGGAUAGCCUUUCGAAAGAAAGAUUAAUACCCGAUAGCAUAAUGAUUCCGCAUGGUUUCAUUAUUAAAGGAUUCCGGUAAAGGAUGGGGAUGCGUUCCAUUAGGUUGUUGGUGAGGUAACGGCCCACCAAGCCUUCGAUGGAUAGGGGUUCUGAGAGGAAGGUCCCCCACAUUGGAACUGAGACACGGUCCAAACUCCUACGGGAGGCAGCAGUGAGGAAUAUUGGUCAAUGGGCGCUAGCCUGAACCAGCCAAGUAGCGUGAAGGAUGAAGGCUCUAUGGGUCGUAAACUUCUUUUAUAUAAGAAUAAAGUGCAGUAUGUAUACUGUUUUGUAUGUAUUAUAUGAAUAAGGAUCGGCUAACUCCGUGCCAGCAGCCGCGGUAAUACGGAGGAUCCGAGCGUUAUCCGGAUUUAUUGGGUUUAAAGGGAGCGUAGGUGGACUGGUAAGUCAGUUGUGAAAGUUUGCGGCUCAACCGUAAAAUUGCAGUUGAUACUGUCAGUCUUGAGUACAGUAGAGGUGGGCGGAAUUCGUGGUGUAGCGGUGAAAUGCUUAGAUAUCACGAAGAACUCCGAUUGCGAAGGCAGCUCACUGGACUGCAACUGACACUGAUGCUCGAAAGUGUGGGUAUCAAACAGGAUUAGAUACCCUGGUAGUCCACACAGUAAACGAUGAAUACUCGCUGUUUGCGAUAUACAGUAAGCGGCCAAGCGAAAGCAUUAAGUAUUCCACCUGGGGAGUACGCCGGCAACGGUGAAACUCAAAGGAAUUGACGGGGGCCCGCACAAGCGGAGGAACAUGUGGUUUAAUUCGAUGAUACGCGAGGAACCUUACCCGGGCUUAAAUUGCAGUGGAAUGAUGUGGAAACAUGUCAGUGAGCAAUCACCGCUGUGAAGGUGCUGCAUGGUUGUCGUCAGCUCGUGCCGUGAGGUGUCGGCUUAAGUGCCAUAACGAGCGCAACCCUUAUCUUUAGUUACUAACAGGUUAUGCUGAGGACUCUAGAGAGACUGCCGUCGUAAGAUGUGAGGAAGGUGGGGAUGACGUCAAAUCAGCACGGCCCUUACGUCCGGGGCUACACACGUGUUACAAUGGGGGGUACAGAAGGCAGCUAGCGGGUGACCGUAUGCUAAUCCCAAAAGCCUCUCUCAGUUCGGAUCGAAGUCUGCAACCCGACUUCGUGAAGCUGGAUUCGCUAGUAAUCGCGCAUCAGCCACGGCGCGGUGAAUACGUUCCCGGGCCUUGUACACACCGCCCGUCAAGCCAUGGGAGCCGGGGGUACCUGAAGUACGUAACCGCAAGGAUCGUCCUAGGGUAAAACUGGUGACUGGGGCUAAG
rnacentral:rRNA from 1 species